rnacentral:siRNA from 1 species
UUUAGUGUCUUUAUCAACAAAG